rnacentral:lncRNA from 1 species
CACUGUGAUUCUGCUUUACACUUUAUGCUUCUUUCUUUCUUUCUUUGUGUUUUGUUUUCGUAUAACUUUACCAGGAUCUUGCUUAUUUGUCACAGGUGAUGAAGAAUGGUUACAUUGCGACUGUAACUCUCUUCCAGUCUUGAUGAUCUGUGUGGUGCGUGGCCUCUGCUCACUUUUCAGUUUUCUCUGAUAUAGGGGGACAUUCUUCUAAACGAACAUUAGGAUUUUCCUAUAGUUGUUGACAACUGUUUGCAUUUUGGUUGCAAAAAAUAGAUCAUGCCAUCACUGUGUGUCUUGAUUAGUUCGCAUGUGGUGUGUGGCCUCUGCUCACUUUUCAGUUUUCUCUGAUAUAGGGGGACAUUCUUCUAAACGGAACAUUAGCAUCUUCCUGUAGUUGUUGACAACUGUUUGCAUUUUGGUUGCAAAAAAUAGAUCAUGCCAUCGCUGUGUGUCUUGAUUAGUCCCCAGUAAUUUCUCUCCCUUCAAUUUUUUCUCCCUUUUUUUCCUUGCUGCAUAUAUCCAGAAUUCCUGUUUAAGAAGUGUCCAUUCUCUUUAGGAGUGUUAGGUAUCUUCUCCACCAUAAUCUGGAACAUGUCCCAAGAUGUUGAUAUUCGAUGUUCUCCAAUGUUGUC